CAGUGAACAAUCCAAAUGUCUUGAAGUGGAACCAAAAUUAAGACUUAUUAUAGCCGUUGAUGCAGCCCAAGGACUGGAUUAUCUUCAUAAUGGCUAUAAACCUCCUUUGAUACACAGAUUUGAAGCCUUCCAACAUAUUACUAGAUCAAAGCAUGCAUGCCAAGAUUGCUGAUUUUGGUCUAUAUAGAGCUUUUGGCAGCCAUAUUGAUUCUCAUAUAUCUACACUAACAGCUGGUCCACUAGGUUAUGUUGAUCCAGAAUUUGGAUACUCCAUGCUUUUAUUCUUACCAAUUUGACAAUUAUCGAUCGGACGUGUGGAUGUAAUAAUGUUGUUAAACAAUUGAGGUAAAUUUACAAAUGCACUUAUUCUUGAUAAUUACUCAUUUAGUUUGAAAGAUACGAAGCGUCAUCUAUUUAGAGCAAAAAGACUUCUUUAUUUUGGUUGAUAAU